rnacentral:lncRNA from 1 species
UUCUAGUGGUGACCCCUAUAUAAGUGGUAGUCACUCAGGAGUCUGCUAUCUCAGCUGGAAUCUUGUAUGCCCCAAUUUUUUGCCUCUGUCCUCUUGCAUUUCUCGUUUCUUAUGCUGUUAAAAACUGUUGCUGUUCGGUAUUGGGCCAGCCUCUUCUCCAAGGAUGGAAUUGCAGACCUGGAAGGUGCCUUCACCUUACCUGCGUAUGGACUAAAAUUAAAUAUAAUGCAGCAAAGUCAGACAAGGAAAAAUUUUUUGGAUUUAGAUAUAACCCUUAGUGAAAGCACAUUGAGGACAAGGUCUACAGGAAACCACAGUACCAACUGAUCUUAAUACCUAAUUGGUCACCACAUUCUAUUUUGUUCAAGAAAGCGGCUUUUCAAGUCUUCUUCAAAAUGGCAUAUGUGUACUCCACAGAACAAAAGGAUCUUGAGGAUGAACUAAAAUAUAUAUACCAAAUUGACCGGCAACACGGCUAUAUGACAGGAUUUCUAAACAGCAUACAAAUGAAUAUACGCCAAGUGUUGGAUCAGGAAUCGCAUAGGGAAAGUACAGCAAACGCAGGAGAAAUCCACACCCAGAAAUAUAUACCAGUGCCGUACCAAAUGACAAAACUUGGCUCAGUAAAAAACAUUAUCAAGAAAGUGAAGAAGAGGCUGGCCCAAUACCAAACAGCAACAGUUUUUAAUAGAAUAAAAAACGAGAAAUGCAAGAGGACAGAGGCACAGGAAUUGGGGGCAUGCAGGAUUCCAGCUGGGAUGGCGGACUCCCGAGGGACUACCACUUGUAUAGGGAUCAUCACUGGAGCGUUGAUAGGAGGAG